UUCACUCUUGCGCUGUCUCCCGAAAUCGCCGACCACACCGGGAGCUCGACGGUCGUUCAGGGCUCGAUCGCGCCGGCGCUUUGUCACAGAUCAAUUCUUCCACCUUCUCUACUCCUUAACGAAGGUCACGACGGUAGAGUCUUCACUGAAGAGUAGACUCGCGCAAGGAUCUGCGGCCGGGUGAGGAGAUCUAUGCUCCGGUGACACCGGAGUCGGGUUGUUCGCUCCAGAGCUAGAUUGUGGCGAGUAAUGGUACUCCAGACAGCUAUUUCAUCUUCUUGAGGCAUAGAGCUGAGUCGUGUUCAUCGGAUACUUCUUCUUCGUCGGGUGUUCCUUCGCCGACGGUGAGGGUUUGCGCCAUUGAGUGGCUAGCGGUGAGGAGAUCGACCCCAACUUCCUGCUGCUGUUCUUCAUUCGGGAUUCAUUGGCCUUGUAGAAACAUCGGUUG